CCUACGGGAGGCAGCAGUGGGGAAUAUUGCGCAAUGGGGGAAACCCUGACGCAGCAACGCCGCGUGAGUGAGGAAGGACUUCGGUCUGUAAAGCUCUGUUAAUGAGGAAAAAUGGUAGUUGGUCUAAUAGGCCGAUUAUUUGAUGGUACUCAUAGAGGAAGCACCGGCUAACUUCGUGCCAGCAGCCGCGGUAAUACGAAGGGUGCAAGCGUUGUUCGGAUUUAUUGGGCGUAAAGCGCGCGUAGGCGGACCUGCAAGUAAGAUGUGAAAUCUCGAGGCUCAACCUCGAAACUGCGUCUUAAACUACAGGUCUAGAAUCUCGGAGGGGGAAGGGGAAUUUCGCAUGUAGGGGUAAAAUCCGUAGAUAUGCGAAGGAACACCAGAGGCGAAGGCGCCUUCCUGGACGAGUAUUGACGCUGAGGCGCGAAGGCGUGGGGAUCAAAACAGGAUUAGAUACCCUGGUAGUCCACGCUGUAAACGAUGAACACUAGGUAUUGGAGGAUUUGACCCCUUCAGUGCCGUAAGCUAACGCGUUAAAGUGUUCCGCCUGGGAAAGUACGGUCGCAAAGCUAAAAACUAANAGAUAGUACGCUGAGACGNGCGACGACGACGACGAGGAGGAG
rnacentral:rRNA from 1 species